ACUCUUUACGGCAACAAAGAUGGAGGCAUCCAGUUCUGUUGCAGUACCGACGGAAAUCUGCCAAAGCACUUCCAAGAUAUGGCUCCAGACACAAAAGUGACGGACAGAUGGAAAGACGAACGGACCAAAAGAUGGAAGGAUGGACGGACGGACAAGGCCAAAACAAUAUCCCUCCGCCUAUAGCGGGGGAAAAUUAAACAGAAAUACGAGAGAAUAAUAAUUUUAUUGAUUUAAUUACACAAUGGUUUCAUGUGAAGCACCAGAACUGCAACUAUUUAAGAAAUGAUGAUUUGAAGUAAAUACGAGUAUGUACAUAAUUUAAGGCCAAGCCCAAGGCAGAAUAAUCGUCCAAUUGUAAGGUUGUCCAACGAGAGCUGUGUUUGGUUCAUUCACUUCUCUGUUAUUGACACUGUUUGAGUACUCUAUCGGCUACAGGUAGUUAGGGUGUAGGUCACGAUUCAGCUUUUUUUUAGCUCACCUGAGCACAAUGUGCUCAUGGUGAGCUUUUGUGGUCGCCUUUUGUCUGUAGUGCGUCGUCCGUUGUGCGGCGUCAGCAUUUGCCUUGUUAACACUCUAGAGGCCACAUUUAUUGUCCAAUUUUCAUGACAUUUGGUCAGAAAAUUGGUCUCAAUAAUAUCUUGGAUGAGUUCGAAAAUGGUUACAAUUGCUUGAAAAACAGGGCUGCCAAGGGGCGGGGCAUUUUUCCUUAUAUGGCUAUAGUAAAAUCUUGUUUACACUCUAGAGGCCACAUUUUAUAUAGUCAGAAGUCUGAACUUGGUCAGAAGAUUCAUCCUGAUAAUAUCUUAGAAGAAUUACAAAAAUGAUGCUGGUUGGUUGAAAAACAUGGCUGCCAGGGGGCGGGGCAUUUUUCCUUAUAUGGCUAUGGUAAAACCUUGAUAACACUCUAGAGGCCACAUUUAUUUUCUGAUGUUCAUGAAACUUGGUCAGAAGAUUUGUCCCAAUUAUAUCUUGUUAUUUCAGGUAAGCAACUUUGGGCCUUUCAGGCACUCUUGUUUAAAAACAAUGCAUGUUCUGUGCAUUUCCAAAAAGGAAAACCAUUUUGUCAUUUAAUAAGACCCAGUUCAUUCACUGCACAAUUUAUGAAGUUAUGACUUCUUAAAGGGGGCAACAUAAAAACAGCACCCUCCUAUUUUGCUCUUGAUGCAUGUUCCGUUAUUAAACGCACGUGCGUUGGUCGAAAUACAUUUUGUAUUUCAUUGUAUGCCUGAUUUUUUAAUAAUUAUUAAUAUACGCUUGUCAGGAUUUGUUUUCACGACGUUUCGCUUUGUUCAAGAUAUAGAACAGUACCAUACGUACAUCAAAUAACAUAACGAAAAAUAAACGGAAUACAUAUAACAAUGUUAGGUUUGCAAAUUAUCAUGAUACGAAAAUAUCAACAUGUCUUACUGUAAAUAUGAUACAAAUCAAAGAGAGCAUUACACAGUUACAAAGUAUUAUUUAAUAUGUGUUUGAUUUUAUUUUUUCACUUAGACUUUCAAUUCUGAAUUUCAUAAGCGAGAACCGAAUACAAAAAAACGUUUAUCAUCUAAAGCUGUAUAUUUUGAUUUUGAAGGGAUAAUGGGUCGGUUUUUAAUUAUGAACAGAACAUUGUCAAAUACAUUUCUGUCGGUUGGUAUGUCCGAUCGUUAAGUGCAAAAGCAUACCCUUAGAAGACUGAUAAGCUAAUACGAGAUGUGUAUGUAUUUUGACGACUGUUGGUAUAUAUGUUGAGGAAAUAUGUAAAUUUUAUGCCUACUUAAAAUUUAAAUAUAUGAGAAAAAAUGCGCAUGUAUGAUUAAUUGUAUGAAUAUGUUUAACUGUUUAAGGCUUCUUUAUUCGUGAAUCAUACAUGAUACAUAUCUUUAAUUGUUAUCACAAAUAAUCAUUGAAUAUAUUACUUUGCAGUACGCUAAGUUAUGAAGAAGGUGGUAUCAAACAAAGUGUGUAUGGAUUAUCGUUGCUGGGUUGUAUUUUUUCUUUUUACAAAAUUAAAAACUCAUAGGGUCUAUGUCGAAUCGGGUAGAAAUGUUAAUGCAUGCUUGCACGAAAAAAAAAGGUAAACAUAAAUGAAUCCGCCAAAAUAUUUUUAAAAGCAAGUCGUAUUUGUGAGUUUUGUCAUUAUGUCGUUAAUAGUAUAUACGUUUACGAUUGUGUUUAUGUGAAAGCUCAAUUUAUGGCUCACAUAUUUGAUAAACGUAAAAGUAGUAAGAACAAAAAUUACUUGUGAUACAAUUAUGAUCAAACUUAUUCUUUGUAAAGUAAAUUAACCGCAAUUUAGAUUUUGCUCCAAUAUAACCCGGCUUCGAAUCUCGGGGAGGGAAACCAAAAUAAAUUUGUAUUUAUAGUACAGUACUUUUAGGUUUGUGUAAACAUGAUAGUUUUGUAUGUAUAUAAUGCUAUUGCAAUUUUCAAAACUAUGAAAAUCUGGCACUUGACGUAAUUGUUAAUGUAUAUUAAAGGCAACACACGUCCUGGCUUAAUUGUUCACGCUUUGACGACGCUUUGAACAUAAUAGGACUGUAUUUUUUUCCUUUACGUUUAAGUUUGACUUUAGCAUUAUUGUGUGAUAUAAGAUAUGUUUUCUGAUUAGAAUCAAUAAGUGAUAUUUGUUAAUAUGUUCUAUGUAAUAUAAUAUCGAUCAUCUUUCCUUGUUAAAGCAAAUCAAAAUUAUUUAUACUAAGGACAGAUUUUAAAGGGAUCUUUUCACGCUUUGGUAAAUUGACAAAAUUAAAAAAAGUUGUUUCAGAUUCGCAAAUUUUCGUUAUAGUUAUGAUAUUUGUGAGGAAACAGUAAUACUGAACAUUUACCAUGGUCUAAUAUAGCCAUUAUAUGCAUCUUUUGACGAUUUUAAAACCUAAAAAUUAUAAAGCGUUGCAACGCGAAACGAUUGAAUAAUUUGGAGAGUUCUGUUUUUGUCGUUAAAUUUUGUGAAACUACGAAGAUUGCUUAUAUAACGUAUAAAAUACGUCAUAUAUUAUAUAUGUACACGGCGGAAUAGCUCAGUAGGCUAAAGCGUUUUUACUUCAGGACUCUGGCAGGACUGCAGGGGUCACUGGUUCGAAACCUGGUCCGUGCAAUGUUCUUUUCCUUUUUUUAAUUUUAUUCUUGAUUUUUUACUGGAGCUUUUACGAUCCAAUGUUUACAUUUAUCGAUAUAAAGCAUUUAAUGAAUAAGUUAAAAAAUGCCAAAAUCUGUGAAAAGGCCCCUUUAAUUAAAACACUAUGUCUAGAUAAACGUUACGGUACAGGACCGAUGUAACCAUAAAUGAGUGAAUGAUGGUUAAAUGACAAUAAUUGUUAAAUUAUAAUAAAUUAAUAAAUAAAUAAAGACAGUGA